UACGGAGGGUGCAAGCGUUAUCCGGAUUCACUGGGUUUAAAGGGUGCGUAGGCGGGUUGGUAAGUCCGUGGUGAAAUCUCCGGGCUUAACCCGGAAACUGCCAUUGAUACUAUUUGUCUUGAAUACUGUGGAGGUCAGCGGAAUAUGUCAUGUAGCGGUGAAAUGCUUAGAUAUGACAUAGAACACCAAUUGCGAAGGCAGCUGGCUACACAAAUAUUGACACUGAGGCACGAAAGCGUGGGGAUCAAACAGG
rnacentral:rRNA from 1 species